UAUUAUCUAAUUAUUGAAUUAAAUCUCUAUGCCACUCAUUUUCGGCGUAGUGAAAAAUGAAUUGCUGUGUGUAGUCUUUGCCUGUCAGCCCAUGAUAGGCUUUUUUUUUG
rnacentral:other from 1 species